rnacentral:lncRNA from 1 species
AUGGGCCUUUCUGGAAGCAUUUUUGUUUGUUUCCAAUCAGUGGGCUCAGCAAUGCCUCUGAACUUUAAUACCCUGGCUCAGCACCAUGCUGUUCUCAGAAGCAGGCAAGUUCCUGUCAAUGAUGUCCUUAAGAAACAGUUUCAUCCUGAGAUGGCAAUCGGGAGCGUGCCUUUCAUAGCAUUUGCUGAAGAAGCAAGUGCAAUUCUAGAGGGAGAAGAAAGUGCAACAAUUGAUUUCAAAGACAGAAAUGACACAGAGUUUGAAGAAUCACCAACCCUGCUGCCCACAAGUCUACACAGUGUAACAAAUCUCUUGGAGUUUGGACAACUAAUGACCACAGAAAGUGCAUUUGCCCUGCCGGAAGACAGUGACAAUUCUACAGACAAUGAAGUUAACACAGAAAGUGUUGAUGGUGGACUGGGUGGGGAGCAACCAGAGAAAACUGAGAAAGGUGGUCUGGAAACAAUUGCACUUGUUGGAAUAAUUAUUGGAAUCAUAGUAGGUGUUGGAAUCCUUGCAGGAAUCAUAAUCGCUGUUGUAAGGAAGAUGUCAGGCAGGUACUCGCCCUGAAAAUAGUUGAAAAAGCAACCAAGCCAUUCUAUGCCAGUAAAUACAUAGCAAGUGCUUCUUACUUUAUAAGAACUGAAGACUAUUCCUGUAUUGGUGUGAGAAGAUGAUCCAUGGAAAAUAUGGUUGAAGAAUUCCAGAUCUAUGGGGAUCCCACACAACUCUCCCAAAGACUAUUUUCUACAGACUACAGAAAAUGGAACAUUUGCAUAGGAUUUUUAUUAACCAGGAGUUUACUAGAAGAAUGAAAAAAGAUCAUUCAGUAGGAAAAAACUCCAGCAGCAGCAACAUUUACAUCUGAAAUAUGAUUUGCAG